UACGGAGGGUGCAAACGUUGCUCGGAAUCAUUGGGCGUAAAGCGCACGUAGGCGGUCUGUUAAGUCGGAUGUGAAAGCCCCGGGCUCAACCCGGGAAGUGCAUACGAAACUGGCGGACUUGAAUAUGGAAGAGGGUCGCGGAAUUCCCGGUGUAGAGGUGAAAUUCGUAGAUAUUGGGAGGAACACCAGUGGCGAAGGCGGCUCACUGGACCGGAACUGACGCUGAGGCGCGAAAGCGUGGGGAGCAAACGGG
rnacentral:rRNA from 1 species